GUGCUCACUUCGGCAGCCCAUAUACUAAAAUUGGGACAAUACAGAGAAGAUUGGCAUGGCCCCCACGCAAGGAUGACACACAAAUUCAUGAAGCAUUCCAUAUCAAG
ensembl:snRNA U6 U6 spliceosomal RNA